rnacentral:rRNA from 1 species
AACGAACGCUGGCGGCAGGCCUAACACAUGCAAGUCGAACGCCCUAGCAAUAGGGAGUGGCGCACGGGUGCGUAACGCGUGGGAAUAUGCCCUUGACUGCGGGACAACGUCGGGAAACUGACGCUAAUACCGCACAAUGUCUUCGGACCAAAGAUUUAUCGGUCAAGGAUUAGCCCGCGUCUGCUUAGCUAGUUGGUGAGGUAACGGCUCACCAAGGCGACGAUCAGUAGGGGGUCUGAGAGGAUGAUCCCCCACACUGGGACUGAGACACGGCCCAGACUCCUACGGGAGGCAGCAGUGAGGAAUAUUGGACAAUGGAGGCAACUCUGAUCCAUCCAUGCCGCGUGAGUGACGAAGUCCUUCGGGUUGUAAAGCUCUUUCAGAUGCGAAGAUAAUGACGGUAACAUCAGAAGAAGCCCCGGCUAAAUUCGUGCCAGCCGCCGCCGUAAUAC